AUCGCUACUGUCUUCUGUCUGUAUAUUUUUGGUUAGUUUAUAAUUCUAUCCUUUCAAUACAGUUGAGCACAAAAUAUGUAAUAAAUUUCAACUGAAGGCAAACUAAUACCUAUUUUUCGAUGACUUUGAAAUAAGGCAAUAACAGUCUCUUACUAUUUUAGAUUUUAAAGGAAGCCUCAUUUUGAACAAUUCUCCAGCUUUUUGUUUGAUAUAAUGGGAAACACGGUUUCAGCUGCAGAGAUUGCUGCAGCACAAAUACUCCGCCCAAAUGAUCCCAUUGAAAAACAUCGUCAUAUAGAUAUCCAUAAAUUUGAGGGAGAAAUUCCCCCAGAAUGUCCGAUGCAUCAGAAGUCCAAAUCGAAGACAUUUAGUUCGGAAUGUCCUGUUGGAGGAAUGAGCGAUGAGUUAAAUCCUUUGAAUAUGAUGGGUCCUGCCAAUCAAAGUCCUUCUCCAGGUCAACCUUUUCCAUUAUCAACCCAUAGGGAAGUUUCUACAAUUCCGAAGGCUAUAGUCAAGGAAGGAGAAAGUCAAUUCUGGACAUAUCCAAGCCCGCAGAUGUUCUGGAAUGCUAUGCUGAGAAAAGGUUGGCGAUGGAAGGAAGAGGACAUUAAACAAAAAGAUAUGGAUAAUAUCAUUAAAAUCCACAAUGCUAAUAAUGAACAAGCAUGGCAAGAAGUAUUGAAAUGGGAAGCACUUCAUUACAAUGAGUGUAAAGAUCCCAGACUGAAAAGUUUUGGAGGAAAAGCAACAGAUUAUAGUCCUCGAGCAAGAAUGAGACAACUUAUGGGGUACGAACUACCAUUCGACAGACAUGAUUGGAUAGUUGACAGAUGUGGGAAAGAAGUUCGAUAUGUUAUCGAUUAUUAUGAUGGAGGAUCAGUAGAUGAUAAAUAUAAAUUCGCCCUUUUAGAUGUUAGACCAGCUAUGGAUAGUUUUGAAAAUAUUUGGGACCGGAUGAAAGUAUGCUGGUGGAGAUGGUUCUACAGUGAUGAGUAGGAGAGGGUGGUUGACAACGGUGACUGAGAGGGUUGUAAAUCAAACCAGAUAAAAAAUUAUCCUAAUUAUUCCAGACCUGAGAAUCCAAUCAAACUUGCUGCUUUCUAUCUUCUGGAGAACUCAUUAUGAGUUUGCCGUUUCUGGAUAACCUCAUGUAAUGUAAAAUAUGUAAUAAGAGUUUAUGAUUCGAAGUGUCCAAUGCUCUGCUGAAAUUGGGUAGAACCAAGAUUGCCCACUUACGCUGAUCACCCUCAUCAUUGAUAUGUAAGAGUGCAUUUGUGUAUAACUAUAACGUCUUAUUCCAAAUCCAGACUAUUAGUAUAAAUAAUUGUUUCUCAA